UGAUUGAAGCUUGCUUCAAUUGAUGGCGACCGGCGCACGGGUGAGUAACGCGUAUCCAACUUUCCGUACACUCAGGGAUAGCCUUUCGAAAGAAAGAUUAAUACCUGAUGGUAUGAUGGGAUUGCAUGAAAUCAUCAUUAAAGAUUCAUCGGUGUACGAUGGGGGAUGCGUUCCAUUAGAUAGUAGGCGGGGGUAACGGCCCACCUAGUCGACGAUGGAUAGGGGGUUCUGAGAGGAAGGUCCCCCCACAUUGGGAACUGAGACACGGUCCAAACUCC
rnacentral:rRNA from 1 species